CGCAGCGAACUGCGAUAAGUAAUGCGAAUUGCAGAAUUCAGCGAGCCAUCGAAUCUUUGAACGCACAUUGCGCCCGCCAGUAUUCUGGCGGGCAUGCCUGUCCGAGCGUCAU
rnacentral:rRNA from 4 species